UGCAAGUCGAACGAUGAAGCCGGAGCUUGCUCCGGUGGAUUAGUGGCGAACGGGUGAGUAACACGUGAGUAACCUGCCCUUGACUCUGGGAUAACUGCUGGAAACGGUAGCUAAUACCGGAUAUGACCUCGGAAGGCAUCUUCUGAGGUGGAAAGUUUUUCGGUCAAGGAUGGACUCGCGGCCUAUCAGCUUGUUGGUGAGGUAACGGCUCACCAAGGCAACGACGGGUAGCCGGCCUGAGAGGGUGACCGGCCACACUGGGACUGAGACACGGCCCAGACUCCUACGGGAGGCAGCAGUGGGGAAUAUUGCACAAUGGGCGAAAGCCUGAUGCAGCAACGCCGCGUGAGGGACGACGGCCUUCGGGUUGUAAACCUCUUUUAGUAGGGAAGAAGCGAAAGUGACGGUACCUACAGAAAAAGCACCGGCUAACUACGUGCCAGCAGCCGCGGUAAUACGUAGGGUGCAAGCGUUGUCCGGAAUUAUUGGGCGUAAAGAGCUCGUAGGCGGUUUGUCGCGUCUGCUGUGAAAUCCCGAGGCUCAACCUCGGGCCUGCAGUGGGUACGGGCAGACUAGAGUGCGGUAGGGGAGAAUGGAAUUCCUGGUGUAGCGGUGGAAUGCGCAGAUAUCAGGAGGAACACCGAUGGCGAAGGCAGUUCUCUGGGCCGUAACUGACGCUGAGGAGCG
rnacentral:rRNA from 1 species